rnacentral:lncRNA from 1 species
AGACCAGGGAACCUGUGCAGCUCUGACUUAGGUCCUCUGUCAUCCAGGAUGCCAGAAUUUCAUGCAGGAAGCAUCCCAGCUGUGGAGAAACAUUGAGACCCCAUUCUCUUUCACUGAAAAUGCUGAGAAAUUGAGACAAGAAAUGGGACUCAGGCAGGCAGAGUAGAAAGAGCUCAGAGAAUCUCCGUAAGCAAGUGACCCAACAACAACAUUUCUGAGAAAUGGUAUUCAGUUCAGCAGGAACCCAUCUUCCAUGGCCUCUACAGAUCCUGCCAAAUUCCCCGUCAAGAGUGGAGAUCCUGAAAUAACUGAAAAGAUCUGAAAUUUGGAAAGACCUGUGGCAGAGUUACACUAUCAAAGUCCAGAUGUGCGGUUCCAAAGCUGUUCACCACCAGUCUGGGCUGCUGUCUCAGUCUUGAUCUAACCAGAGAUGCUCCUUGAGGCGAAGCUAAAACAAGGAAUCGGAAACCAGAGUCCUCUCCCAGCGUUCCUGGCCUCCAGCAAGGUCAAUUUUGGAACUGCUGCUUUGGGGGUCCCUAUCCCAAGUUUUUUUUUUUUUCUAUCCUGUCCUCAUUAUCACCACCC